UCCAUUUUUUUCAAUGGAGUCUAUCCACAACUCCACAAGACCACAACUUGAUUUAUAUUUUUUUUUUUUAAAUUAAAAAAAAAAGUCAUCCAUAGCACGCAUGUGCAGCUAGUAAUAAACAAAUGAACACUGAAAUGCGUGUGUAAUUGAUUAGUCAAACUACAACAAUCAUUUCGGGGCCAAGUAAUAUUAUAAGUAGAGGUGUAUCCGUCGGUUCUAUCAUAGUGAAUCAUAAAUUCUAGGCUUCUAGCUUGCUAAGAGAUCAAAGGUACCACCGCCAUUGUUAUUUGUUGAGGAAAAAAAAAGAGAGAUCAAGAAAAAGGGAGAAAAAGAAAAAAUGAAUAGUCAAAAGGAGCGCUCUCAAACAAAAAAACCUACCUCCAAUGUCGUCGCUCCACUUUCAGUCACAAAGCAGGAACUUGUCGUCACAACUGUUGAAGUUGUGUAUACUGAGAGGACAUUGCGGGAGAUGAAAGCCAAACCUACAAAACCACCUAUUAAAUCAGGAAAGAGUGGCCAAAAACACUAAUCAAAUCAUAAACAUAUAUAUGUUGCAAGCUACACUUCAAUAGAUCAACUUUGUUAUUCAAUAAGUCUAGUUAUCGUUUGUUUUAAUUAGUAUACUUGUUAAGUAAAUAAAUACUACAUGCUUAGCAUGGCAUAUAUACAUUGGUUUGUAAUUAGUAUUUGGUAAUUGCUUAAUAUUAUUUUCAUUUUCA